rnacentral:rRNA from 1 species
GACAGAGGGUGCGAACGUUGUUCGGAAUUACUGGGCGUAAAGCGCAUGUAGGCGGCAGCGCAAGUCGGGCGUGAAAUCCCACGGCUCAACCGUGGAAGUGCACUCGAAACUGCGCAGCUAGAGUCCUGGAGAGGAAGGUGGAAUGCUUGGUGUAGAGGUGAAAUUCGUAGAUAUCAAGCGGAACACCGGUGGCGAAGGCGCCUUCUGGACAGUGACUGACGCUGAGAUGCGAAAACGUGGGGAGCAAA